CUUUUUUACAGUAGAAAUAUUUAAAUGGAACAACAAAAGCAAGAGCUAUGUAACAGAUGCACAUGUAUUGAAAUAUUUAUUUAUUUAUUGGAGAAUAUAAAUAGUUAAAGUGAGUCAGAGUUAUAUACAUGAAUAUAGUACCACUGGAUUGAGAUAGGCUCUUUUAUCCAGGGGUUAGUGUGACAUUGAAAUGAUAUACAGAUAAUCAAAGGAUGACAUUGAGAAACUAAAGGUAUUUAUUAAAUAUAUCAGCAAGCUUAGAACUAGUGAUGUCAUUUUUAGUUUAUCUAAAACAUAAAACAUAUUAUGUUUGAGCUAUUCAGUCCAGUAAAAUGCGUGGGCAAAUCAGACGUGCUCUGUCCAUAUUUUUAAAACAUGACUGUACCAUAUCAAAAAAGAUACCUCAGAACGAAGACUUGUUAAUCUGGAACAAAAAAGCAAUUUUUUAAAGAGAUUUUUUUGUGUAUAAACAGCUAUAUUUUGUUUUUAUAUAUUUUGAUUAAUAAAACUUUAUUCAUCACUGUGAUUUUCUGAAAAGGCAUAGACAUUAACUUUUUUUUUUUUUAAUGAUCACUGCUAUGAUUAAAUAGAGUCAAUGUCCAUGGUUUUUACUCAUAUUUGCAAGUAUUUCACUAUUGCUUAUUCUUUGACUUUGAUGAAAUGAAGGCUUUGAAGGAUUUUUCCUUACUAAACUUGAGACAAUUUGUUUUAUUGAGCUAGGUAAACAUAUGAGACAGAUUCCUUUGUAUGCAUUGUCUUGCCUUUCAAACAUCAUUUUUUUUUAAGUUGAAUGAAGUUUUAAAAAUCCUUGUGUAUUAAAAAAUAAGUUAGAUAAAAAAAAUCAUUUUUAAGUAGUUACUUUUGUGUGUGCUUGAAUAAAAAUGCUCACAUUCAUGAUUCAUAGGUUCAUGGAUCACACACUUCCCUUUUUGUUAGUUUAACAGAAUGAAAAACAAUGAGGGUCUAUGUCAGCAUACAAUUCUAGACCUUUAAUCCACAGGAUAGCUUUUGCAUUUAGCAUCAAUAGAGUUCUAUGUCAUGUAUUGUGCUCUAUCAGAUAGACUGACUUUCUAACUUUGCAUUAGCUGGGUUCUUUGUAUUGCUCUUUUAGUGUUAACUAGGUUUUAUUGAAUAAUACAACCUUCUUCUUUUAACAUUAGCAUGGUUUGUUACUAAGGAACGUAUUACUGAUUUUGCACUAGACGGACUACGUAAUACUAAUUUAGCAUUAGCCAGGCCCUAUAACAUAGAAUGCCCAACUCAUUUUACAUUAGCUAUACUCUAUAGAAUGGAUUCUUCUAGUCCUUUAGUUUUAGCCAGGUUGUAUAAAAUGGAAGAACGGAAUGUCAUAAUCAUUUAGCAUUAGUUGAAUGCUAUGAAAUAGAAUUCCUAUUCAUUUGGCAAUUAUCCAGAUACUCUAGAAUGGAAUGUCAUCCUCAUUUCACUUUAGCAGUACUCUACAGAGCUACAGAUGGUAAAUAAGUGUGACAUUCCAUGUGGGCAUAAGAUCUUUAAGGCUUGUACAAUUGCCAUUAGUUCUUAAACUUAUGACACCAUUUUUCUAAAUAUUUUCUCCAUUUAUUUAAGGGGUUGUGAUGGUUGAUAUAUAUUUUUGUCUGGUAUCCCCAGCUGCAGCUGAGCCAAAACCUGGUCAAGGUUCUAUAAUUUCUGUCAGUAGAGUGUCCUCACAUAAGUUCUACUAUGUUCCGAUCAGCAGGGAAAGAUUAUGAUCUCACGGGGCAGUAGGUAGGCAAAUAAAUAGUUCUAGUGCCCUUGAUGAACCCCUGCUCAGACUUUCCCUGAAGACAGGCAAUUGCAAAUGCAGUUUAAAUUAUUCAUGUUAUUAAAGUUCUAAAAGUAUAGAAUAAUUGUCACAAUGGGUUUUCUAGAUUCCUAUGACUCUUUCACUUCUGGGGGGCUGAGCAAUGCAGCCUCGGAUGUGACAAUUUGAGUGUUGUUAAACAGGUUCUUGAUCCCCACAGCGAUAUAUUGAAUUUAUUAAACUGAGACAAUAGUCAGUCAACCAAGCAGAGAGCUGGAAUGUAAUUGUAUUUUUAAAAUACUCCUGGUAUUGUUUAUGUACUGAAAUUAUAGCCAUAUUACACAGAGGGUGAUUACAUCCUAUUUGAGAAAUGUGAGCAAAACCUACAUGCAUCGAUCUAAAGAAACAAAUUCAAUAAAAAUCUGUUUUCUAGCGAUCCGUGUCUGCAAUAUAUCACAGUGUUUAACAUUAGCAUUCCGUGGAGUCUUUGGUUAGUAGACACAGGGAAAGUAUAAGUAUCUCUGCUGUACACAGGCGAUAUCUGUCGGUUUCUAAAGAAUAUACUCAAUGGGGAAUUAAGCAAUGUGUGUAUAUUAGAUCUACGGUGCCUCAAAGACGGCAGACUCUCCAAAGAAAAUAUUCUCAGCUCCAGCUCAUCUUGUGAGAACAUACAAACAGCUUAAACACACAAGGAAACUAGUUUUGUUCAACCCUGAAAGUCGCAGGAAGAGCAAUGGUUUCGAUUUAACCCUUUGAGUGCCUCUGUCAUCUUCCUUCUAUUUUCUAGUUGUUAAAUCUCAACCUUGAACAAAAUUUGUCCUUGACAGCCAACAGACGAAAAUAGUAGAUUGAUUUAACCCUUUUGAUGGAUGUGUCUGCUCAUUUAGUACAAACAUUCAACUGCAACCUCAACCAACUCAAUACAAUAUCUUACUAACCUCAAGAAGCCACAUGAAGUAGAUCCCUAUAUGUUAUAAGCUUGCACCAACACAGAGCAGAUAGUCUUAUUAACCAAAGAAAGAGAUUAAUUUAACCCUUUCCAUGUUCCUCUUGACAUCAUGAACCAACACAAAGAAAUAUCUCAGUAACUGUAGAGUGCAUUAAACCAUUUUAACUAUUACAAUUCAAAGGCAGAGUAGGAGAAUCAGUUAAUCUUUCACAUAACAUUGUCUGUUUUAGUUAUAACUUAUCCAAGCAGAGCCAAAACCAGCCAGUAGCAAUGUGAAAUUAUAUUUUAACCACUGACAUCAAGAGGAAAAUAUUUAGAUUGGUUUAAUAAUUUAAUGUUCGUGCCUGUGAUUCUAAAUUAUAAUACUAUGAUGUAGUAAUAUGCAUGUAACGGUUUAUAUUUCAACUGUUUACUUCCACACAUGAGUUAAACCAUCACAGUGUGGUUUAUUUACUAAGCAGUGAGUUUUGGUGAAGUGAAAACAAAAAUGUAACAUAAAGGCCAAAAAGACAAUAUGGAAAAUUUCCAGCUCAGCUUUUUAUGCGCUAAUUUUUGCAAUUUGUUUAUCUAAUUAACCAAUUCAUAGCUCAGCAAAUAAUCUUCACAUUCACGGUCAGUGCCAUUUUGCUGAGAAUAUCUCUGUGCUCCAACAGGGUAUAAUUCGAACAUAAGUCAACCUCUUUUUAACUGUCCAAUGUAUUGUCUUAACAUUUUGGUAAAGGCAUCUCCCCCAACAUUGAUAUAUAUGUAAUAAGGAUAGGGAUGGCCUCUAGGGGGCAUCACCAGCAAUGCAAGUUACGAGGGGCCGGAGUAUGAGAUCCCUGACUUAAACUGACACUGUUUAAUCUUAUUAAUAGCUGAACACCAGAGGAAUAUAUAGAGCAAAAUAUCAAUUCAUCUCCUUGGGUAUCAGAGCAUCUUUGAGUAUCAGUGACAAAAGAUUUAAACCCAUUUACUCCAUCAUGGAUGUAGAUUUUAUUUGGCUUGAAUAAACCUAAACAAAAGACUGAACAUUUUAUUACGCGCACUGUAAUAUUUGUAAGGUGACUGUAUAAUACUGUCCAGUGAAAAAUACAUACUCAGUUGUUUUUUGGUUUUUUUUAUCAAAGGUUUGUUUCUAAAUAUUAAUUACAUUUUAACAUAAACAUAACUAAAUAUAUGAAGAAAACAUUCAAACCAAUAAUAAUCAAAUAAUAAUAUGCAAUAUGUCAUUACUACACAGUAACAAAAACACACAACUAAAAACAUUGGGAAAUAUGAUAAAGAAUUGUUUAGAAAAAAGUGUAACAAAAUGGUGUCUUUUAGCAACAGUUAAAUAUUUAUCAAAUAUGGUGGGUGAAUACGCUAGUGACACCACUGGGAUCAAUAAAUACGGAUCCUUAAAGAGAGUGACAAUACAGUAUUAAUAUUACACUAGGAUAGGACAAAAUCUAAAACUCCGAAUACCAUUUUUACCUCUCUUUAACCCAUAUUUAUAUAAAGUUCAUAAAUGUGCGUACUAAAUGUUACAUAUAACAUGGGGACAUGAGGCUGGGCUACAAAUUCCUUUAGGGAGAUAAUUGUUUUGAUCAGUCCUACACAAGACAUGCCCCCAUAAUGUAAAAGUGUAAGUCACCAUUUUUUAUAAGUUAUUAUAUUAAUAAAACGUAUCAGUGAUGUACAGACAAUCAGAACUCAAGCUAGUACACAUUUGUAAUCUUAUAUUUUGGUUACCAAAUGUGAUUUUAUUCCAGAUAAGACUCACUCUAUCAACGUUAGUCACUCAGUAUCUCCAUCAAUUAAUCAUUUGUUUGUAUUACGUAACUUGAGAAAGCAACAUGUUAAAAAUCAUGUGCCUAUUAAUGGAUGGCAUUAUCAAUAGCAUCAUCAAAAUAAAAAUCAGAGCAACGAUGUAGGAAUUUGAGCUUAUAUCGAAUAAUGCGACAGAGACUAAUUUAUUUAUGACCUAUAUUGAGAAUAAUUGCUAAUUAUUCUAAAAAUAGAAUAGUCUCCUUCUCCUAAUAGUUUCCUCCCUGCCAAUAAAAUCAGCAUUUAAUAAUGAGAAAUUUAUAUUUUCUAGUGUCUCUCUAUAAUAUCAUCAAGAAAAUAGAAAAAACUAUCUGCAAUAUAAUAUGACAAUUCAUAAAAUAUAGCAAUGAUUUUUAUAUGCAUAAUAUUGUCUUAGUCCUAAUAUAACAGAGACCCUAGAUAAAUUAAUCCAACCCUCUCGCCCCUUAAUAUCUAUCUCACCCACACAUACUGAAUAAUUAAUACAUAAACUCAGUCUUACAUUUAACUGUUGGGUCAUUUUCAAGAAAUAUCUUUAAUCGUAUGUAUCUUAGUUUUACUCAAAACGGAAAAAAAAUACAUUCUCCAAAGUACACUAUAGAUUGGUAAUAUAUAGAAUAUUUCCAAAAUUUUAUGUCAGUAUAAGUAAAUAUAUACUGAACGUUAUAUGUUGGUAUCCCAUACAAUAAACACAUUUAUAUAUUUCUCCACCUGAGUAAUUUUUUACUAUGUUACAUUAACAUCAUUUAGACUAAUUCUCAUGUCUGCUUAAAAAAUAUGGCAACUCAAUUCUUAAAGUGAAGUUAAGACUUCAUAUUAAGUUAGAUUUAUGUAACAGAGCAUUAGAUACAUUCAAAUGUAUGUGUAAGAGUUAUGGAACAUGCCUAUUUUCUACUUAUUUUCUACUUAAGUCCUUCACGUAUGUGCAUUUUCUGGUCUCCGAUCAGACCAGGAAUUAUACCUAUGUCCUGAUUGGCUUAGAAAACCAAACCAAUCAAUUUAGUGCUUUGCUUUCAUAUGGGUCAAAUUAAUUAUUGUGAUCUUCUCUUUGCUGAUUUUAUUACCUGCUUUCUCUUAGAAAAAGAGCUUGUUGUAUCAGUAAAAUGCAUAGACAAAUUACUUUUGCAUAAUGAACUUGUCUCAUUGCAUCAUUGUGUGUUAAACCAAUAUACUUUUAAAACAUAAUGAAUCUCUCGGCAGCACAAAAUAAAUACACUUUCAAUUUAAACGUACAGUAUGGAAAAAUAGUUGGCGAUUGUGUUAAAAAUAACAUAGCUCGAAAGAGUUAGAUACCUUUAAAACUAUAUCUCAACUUCCAUUACUUGAUACUUGUACUUAAAACAUGAAAUAUCCCAUCAUGCACCGGUCAUUCGCUUUCUUGGUUGGUUGGAUGACAUCCUUUUUACUUUUUUUUUAAGAACUAUGCACUGACUCACUUGUUUGUUCACGUUUAGUUUGGGUUUGGGAAUGGAAGAGUAUUGAGGGAUACUAAUUAAGGGCACUAAGCAUAGUGAUUGAGGCAGAUUGAGGCUAAUAGGAGUGUAUGAUAGUUCUAAUACACAGUGAACCUAGAUUAUAGGUGACUAGAUUUUAGUGUAUUCCGAGUGCUUAUAGGCAUAUUAUUACUACAAGCUAUCUUAAAUCUAGCCUCCUCUCCGCUAUGCUAUCCUUUGUUCAUCCUUCUACUUUAUAGGAACUUAGAAGUGAUAAGAAUUGGACUGAUUAGCAUACUCUGGGUACAUACAUUCUUAUAUGUAGAAUGAACCUCUAAUUGAAUACUUUUACAAGUUUUGAGCCAUUGUGGUUAUUACUUUUGUUAGUAUUUUUUUUUCAAAUCAUUUACUCUUAGCUUCCUAUCAUCUAAUUACUACACUCUUUUAUGUAUGCACUUCUAAGUCAAAUUGAUAGUUUAGGGGAUAUUCCUUUUUUCUCUGUCCAUGAGUGUUGAUACCAUUUAAAGCACACCCAAUUAAUAUAGUUAAACCUAUUCUCUUUUUUGCAUCAAAUUUCUAAUUGAUAGGUGUCUAUUUUGUUUUUUGGUUACAAUCAUGGACAGGGAGGAUGAUACAUUUUUGAUCUAAACAUUAUUCCUCAAUUUAAUUAGCAGUUAGUGAAUGUGUAACCUUAUGGGGGUUCUCUUAGGCAAUGCACAAUAAAGCCUGGACGGGUCUCUCAUUAAUGGUUACUUUAUACUGCUAAUCUUUAACUGUCUUUCCCUACUGGACUUUAUAUAUAAGUUCCAUCCAAGUAGUUCACUUUCUAAAUACCAGGACUUGAGAUCCUCGCUCUGUAUGGAUCUCAGGUGAUACUUUGUUCAUAUAUUAUUAUUAGGGUAAAAGCCCAGGGCAGAACUGGUACUAUACACACUGACCAGCUCUCAUUUGCGUUAUUUGCAUCAUUGAGGGGUUAUUUUAUAAUCAUUAUAAUCAAGUACAUUUUGUAAAUAAAACACACAGAUUGGUGAUUACUGUGUAUAGUGCGCUUACAAAUGUAAUUGAGUUAAAAAUAAGCAGCUACACACUCUAGUGGAUACUCUCUUAUCCCCACUAAUUAUAGUAAUGAACCAAAGUGAGCUUAGUACAAUCUGGAUAUAACGUCCAGACUCUACUAAUCAAAUGAGUGGAGCGCUAAAGGUAUAAACUUACCCUAAAAUAGGGUUAAAUCUCAGAUGUAUAUCAGUACAUAUAAAGGAAACAAAAAAUAAAACACAAUAUAGUGGAUAUCCAGAGCCAGGUUCUCAUUGGCUCAGGAAAAGGUGAGCACAACCAUAACCACUGUGUUUUUUAUUUUUGUUGAAACUUAAUACACUAGGAAGUCUUCCUUUCUCUCUCCUUUGAGGAAAUCCAUUCCAGGCAAAAGGGUGCAGUGUCUCCAUACGACACUACUGUGCAAGUGAUUUGAGCCUGUCCCUUUGAGGCUCUGAUCAAUGUGAGUUUGACUACUUGAAUUAUCACCAAAAUACAUUAUCAUCUGUGGAUUUACACAUUUUGUAAAUGUUUCCCCAACAUGUGGUCUGUGUAGCGGAAAUAUUUCUGCCAGGGUAAAUUAAAUAUCUCUGCCAGGGUAAAACAUUUGGGUAUUUUAUAGGAAAUACAUCUGUUUGGGAUGCUUGGCUGGAAACUCCACUUUCAAAUAAUGUGAUUACAUCACCAGACCCAUGUCUCACUCUGAAAAUAUCCAUUUAAAUCUAUUUCUCAACUCAAUGUUUUUUUAUUCAAUAUUCAGACAUUAUGUUUGCUAUUUCAUAAUUCCAUUUCUGAUUUACAGUAUUCACAUGCAUCAGAUGUUGAAAUACUUUGUCAUCUUUUGUUCUCUGAUUGACUGAUACCCAUUUCCAAUUUAGGCUAAGACCCGAUUAUUAAGAAUAACAAACACUUUGAGAUUUACCACAGGAGAAGGAUAGCCAGACACAAAGGGUUAACAACAAUAUCAAGUGCCAAUGAUCAUAGGGCUGGUAUUUAUAAGCACUGCUUCACAAUUAAGUACUUGAACGCUCCAGACUGGAGUUUACUAAUGUAUUUAUUAUGAAUGAAAUAGAUCAGGGCUCAUAAUUCUAUGCCCUGACUGAAUAGCCAGUCUUUAAAGUUACUCAAAAACAUUUUACUGAAGUACAUGUGAAAACCAUUUUAGAAUAUACUACUGUCAGACAGAAUGGCCUACUACUGGGCAGAAUGGGCUACUACUGAGUAGGGGAGAAUGGGCUGCUACUUAUACUGGCAAGAGCGAGGAGGCACUACGGGUAGUAGGGAGAGAGAAUAUUUGCUACAUGGGAAUCGAGAGUUGACACUGUGAAUUGUCUACAACUGGCAAUGAGAAUCGGGAGUUGGCACAUUGAUUUGGCCACAACUGGCAAAUGGGGAGAGUGUAAACAUGGAAUUUGUGGGCUUGUGUCAUGUGAAAUAAAAUGUGGGUGCAAUUACACCCCCUUCAUUCAAUCACAUGCACAGCACGCCACAUUAGCAUUCUCACAUACUUUGCAAAACUACACUCUUACAUCCAUACACUCUGACACACCAUGGACACUCCUCAAGUAGGAAACAUUACUAAAAUGCUGUGUGCCCACUUGAGGCAUUGACUGAGUUUUAGUCUUGGUUGGCAAUGUAAGCAUUGAAAUAUUGUGCCCUGGUGUAUGGUGGCUUUCUACCUUAUUUAUACCAGUGUAUACAGUAUGAAUGUGCUACAUUGGGACAGUAUACAUGCAGCAUAUCUCUUUCAAGUUUGAUACAUUACACAAAAAAAGUAUGCAAACAUUUUAAAAUAAAAAUAAUUAAAAAUAAAACAAUGCCCAACAUUGAAGUAUCUGCAUUUGCUGCAAAUUUAUUUUUUUUGCAGCUUCUACAGUAAUUAAUCACCAAAUCUAGAAUUUGCUCAGUCAAACAUGAUGCUUUGUUAACUUGCUCUAGUACUGCUGAGCUUAUCCUGCAACCAGUGAUUUAUGGGUAGAAGAACGAUUUUUGGGAGUUAUAGUUCAACUGUCAGUUUUCUGCUGUAGAAAGGUAUGAACUUGCAGUAGAAGUAUAAGAACUGAAUUGCCCCUUUAAAUCAUUUGCAACAAGGGGUUAGGCAAUUUGUGUUAAAUUAUGUAGCAUGUCAUUGGUCAUUAACAAGUAGAGUGCUACUUUGUGACAUCUGUAGGGAACACCCAAUUCUAAAUCAGUGUAAAUAUUGAUAUAUUGAGAGCUCCUUUGGGAUCUCCUGUUCUAUAAACCUCUUUAGAUAAAUAGAACACACGUUGUUGCUUAGGCAGGGAUGAAAAUAACAAUCUCCCAGCAUUAUCCCUGGAGUAAACCAAAAAU